rnacentral:rRNA from 1 species
GACGAACGCUGGCGGCGUGCCUAACACAUGCAAGUCGAACAGAGUGUUUAUUUAUAAACACUUAGUGGCGAACGGGUGAGUAACGCGUAGACAACCUACCCUCUAGAUGGGGACAACACCGCGAAAGUGGUGCUAAUACCGAAUGUUGUAAUGUUGUUGCAUAAUGAUAUUACUAAAGGUGGCCUCUAUAUAAAAGCUACCGCUAGAAGAUGGGUCUGCGUCUGAUUAGCUAGUUGGUGAGAUAACAGCUCACCAAGGCAAUGAUUAGUAGCCGGUCUGAGAGGAUGAACGGCCACACUGGGACUGAGACACGGCCCAGACUCCUACGGGAGGCAGCAGUGGGGAAUCUUCCGCAAUGGACGAAAGUCUGACGGAGCGACGCCGCGUGAGUGAAGAAGGUUUUCGGAUCGUAAAGCUCUGUCUUCAAGGACGAAUGUAGAUAUUGUGAAUAAUGAUAUUUAAUGACGGUACUUGAGGAGGAAGCCACGGCUAACUACGUGCCAGCAGCCGCCGUAA